CCUACGGGGGGCUGCAGUGAGGAAUCUUGGUCAAUGGACGCAAGUCUGAACCAGCCAUGCCGCGUGCAGGAAGACGGCUCUAUGAGUUGUAAACUGCUUUUGUACGAGGGUAAACGCAGAUACGCGUAUCUGUCUGAUAGUAUCGUACGAAUAUGGAUCGUCUAACCCCGUGCCAGCAGCCGCGGUAAGACGGAGGAUUCAAGCGUUAUCCGGAUUUAUUGGGUUGAAAGGGUGCGUAGGCGGUCGGAUAAGUUAGAGGUGAAAUCCCGAGGCUCAACUUCGGAAUUGCCUCUGAUACUGUUCGGCUAGAGAGUAGUAGCGGUAGGCGGAAUGUAAGGUGUAGCGGUGGAAUGCUUAGAGAUCAUACAGAACACCGAUUGCGAAGGCAGCUUACCAAGCUACUUCUGACGUUGAGGCACGAAAGCGUGGGGAGCAAACAGGAUUAGAUACCCUAGUAGUC
rnacentral:rRNA from 1 species